CUAUUUUUUUAACUACUAUCCAUAUUGCCAAAUAAUCUCAUUUUGUACUUGAGUUUUAAUAAGAUAGAUUUCGGCAAAUAAGACUCACAAACAAUGAAACUUUGUUGUAGACUGAAUACAAAAAGUCUUACAAAGUUAUAAUGUAUACUCUAUAUGAUAUAUGUUUUGCAUAUAUCAAAUUGGUUUAAGAUUAGAACAAAAUUGAGAAGUCUUAAAUUAAACCGGAUUAAACCAUUUUAGCUAUAAACAGGUCUACGUAAGUAUAUAGAUGGUUUCAUUGUCCAAAUGUGAAAUAGUCAGAAUACUGAUUUUUUGUAAAAAAAAAUAAAGCUUUUUGUGUCAAAUAAAUUUUAACCGGUUUGGUUUGGUAUAUACAUAUAGCUAUUAUUAGGUGAUAAAAAAGAUUCACUUUCUAAAAUAAAUACUAUAAAUCUUAUACAAUAAAGUUGCCUUGUCUCUCUCCUCCUGCGUCCACGUCAUCAGGGAGAUAGGGGCUUUCCUCGCCACGUGUCGUUGCGCUGAUUGGUUUGUGUAAGUCACGCGUUUUGGUUUCGUUGGGUUUUCUAUAAUCUUCAUCGUCGAACCAGAGUAAUGGAAGCAGUACGAUUUUUGCUCUAGCCAUAAACUGAGCAUUUAAUCUCAGUUAAUUCUUCCCCCACGACUUCUCAUUUCACUAGAUCCUUCGAUCUCUUCAGAUUUUUCAUGGAUUGGAUCCUAUAAUUAGGCGUUCCUUGCUUCGCGAAAGAAAGCUCAGUGGGCGAUGAAGUGGAUCGACGGAUCUCAGACCUUCGCGGAGAGGAGCAUCGCCUUCGCCUGCGCAUAAGGGAUCUUCUUCUCCGGUAGCUUCUGCUCGAUCUUCUGGCUCAAGAAACGAGGGCUUAUGCCUGGUUUGACCUUCUCCAACGAGUUGAUCUCUCGAGACGAUGGCUUUGCACUGCGUGAAGUCGAUCGUCUGGUUUCGCCUGCCUGAUCUACACCCUCUUGAGGACGAAUCUCAUGGACGAAUCUCUCUUCAGGGUAAAACAAACUUCUUCGAGAAGAGAGUUCGUGAUUACCAGAAGGCUUGUGUUAUGUCGAGCGUUAAUGGAGGCGGCGCGUUUGAUAAUCAUGUGCUCUCUCUCAACAAAGACUUUUAGAUUUGAUAUUUUUUUUAGACUAAUGGAUGCACAAGAUCAAAACCCAUGAAAUUUAGUUAAUUAUGUAUUGCCACAGCUCUCCAACUCUACUCACUUUGCAAUUUAUCAUCAAUAUUAACAGCCUCUGGCGACAUGUAUGCACAACUUUUAGCAAAGGAAGAUGGCUAUUAAUCUGUAAAUAACAGAAUCGUGGCUACAAUAUCAGUUGCUUCCAUUAACAACUCGCCCUCACUUGAUUCUUAGCGGCAUCAGAGUCUCUACCACUUGUCUCCAGACCUCAUUCUUCUCUUAUUAUUUUCAAUAACAGAGGUUUGUUGUUUGAUCUCUAUUUCAAAAGGUCUUCUUGAAACCAUAUCAAUCCAUCUGUGGGCCAACGUUGAGAAAUUUGACAGUCUGCAUAAGCCUAAUACAAAUACAGUCGGCAUUGCAUUGUAAGUUAACAACUCCAUAUCUGGGCCAACAUUGAGAGUUUUUACUGUCUGCGUAGGUCAACAGUCAACACUAAUAGAUUCUCUCUAUCAUAUGGUUGAGAGAUAUAAAUGAGAAUUAGGUCAACAAGCCUAAGAAGCAAAUUUGUUUCUGAGUUUAUCUUAGUCGUUUCGUAUAACCUUCACAUAGUUGUGCCUUUCCUCCACUUUCCGGCGAUGAAUGAUUGGGUGUCAAUGGUGGAAUUCACUUAAAGCUACUCAUCACUUCCUCAACCUUUCAGCUUUCCUGCGUUUUUUGACCCGUUUAUUUUAUUAUAUAUACGAACAGAUGUGAGGACCCCGAAGAUUUGGUCGUCUCGCAAUCAAUCUUUUCUUACAAACUAUCUGUAAAAGCAGGUACCAUAAUGACCAAUUCUCAACUUCCUCUCUCUCAGUUGAAGGCUGGUCGUUCUAGGACGACGGCUGUCAGACGGCUUCUCUAUUUUUGGGAAGCUCGGGAUGUGAAGAAAGUAAUAGAACUUAUGGAGAUUGAUACAGUUCUGGUAGAUGAGGAGGAGUUGCUUCUCCAUUGUAUUUGUCUUUUCUGUAACUGUUUUCAAAAUUAUUUUUGUUUGCUAACGCUUCAUUGUUUCUAAAUGGUUUGCAGUCUGAUCCAGGGAUCUAGCAUACACCCCUUAAACGCAUUCCACCACUUACUCAGAGAGGGGUCUGUAUGAGCUCUGCAUUUGAUGUUACCAGGAAUUAAAUAUUUGUAUUGUACACUCCCAUGGUUGACUUAUACAAUUUGUUCACCUUUUGCUAAAUUAAUUUUAAGUUUCUCUU